AAAAACUUAGAGCUAUUCUGUCAGGCAUUGCAGCAGACUGCCAUCUCUGAUGCUGGGAAGCACAUUGAUUCCAGACAGACAGCCUAUUACGAGGUGACAGUGAGCAUCACACACUGCUGUGUGCACAUGCAUCUGAACCCUCUGAACUCCAAUUCAGGAAUUUACAAUUGUCUCAGUCUUGGUGGAAGACGAGUCCUGUCUCUGGCUGAGGAAAAUUAAAAUGCCAGCCUGCAAGAUGCUUUUUGUCACGCUGAGGCUGAAGUAUCAGCAUGAAAG